GGGUCGAUGCCAGAGUGGUUAAUGGGGGCGGACUGUAAAUCCGCUGGCUACGCCUACGGUGGUUCAAAUCCACCUCGGCCCACCA
rnacentral:tRNA from 1 species